AGGACGAACGCUGGCGGCGUGCUUAACACAUGCAAGUCGAGCGGAAAGGCCCUUCGGGGUACUCGAGCGGCGUAACGGGUGAGUAACACGUGAGCAACCUGCCCCUGGCUCUGGGAUAGCCUCCGGAAACGGGGAUUAAUACCGGAUAUUCACUGCUCCCUGCAUGGGGGGUGGUGGAAAGUUUUUCGGCUAGGGUGGGCUCGCGGCCUAUCAGCUUGUUGGGGGGGUGACGGCCCACCAAGGCGACGACGGGUAG
rnacentral:rRNA from 1 species